rnacentral:rRNA from 1 species
GAUGAACGCUGGCGGCGUGCUUAACACAUGCAAGUCGAACGAGAAUCAACGGAUUGAGGAUUCGUCCAAAUGAAGUUGAGGAAAGUGGCGGACGGGUGAGUAACGCGUGAGGAACCUGCCUUUCAGAGGGGGACAACAGUUGGAAACGACUGCUAAUACCGCAUGACACAUUGAGGGGGCAUCCCUUUGAUGUCAAAGAUUUAUCGCUGAAAGAUGGCCUCGCGUCCCAUUAGCUAGUUGGUGAGGUAACGGCCCACCAAGGCGACGAUCAGUAGCCGGACUGAGAGGUUGGCCGGCCACAUUGGGACUGAGACACGGCCCAG